rnacentral:lncRNA from 1 species
UGCCACGUACAUAUAUUUUCUUUAUUUAGUUAUUUUUAUUACUCCCUCAUAUUAUACAAGCUUGGAUUCACUUUCACGUAUCCUUAUAUUAAUUAUCGGUGAAUUAAUGAAAAAUUUAAUUUUCAGAACCGAUAAUCCAGGUUUAAGGUUACUUAUGUGUAAUAAUUUAUUGAAUUAGGUUAUAUUUUAGCAGGUAGAGUACAUAUAUUUCUUCAUCAACUGGUAAAAUGGAGAAAAUGUCAAGUCAUAAUAUAAUAUAAUUCAACCAAAUUGACGAGAUUAAACUAUCUUGGUUGCCUCUAUCCAAGGAUUGAACUCAGGAUCUACAGAGCAUUUACUCAAUCUUUAACUAUUCAUCAUCCAUGCAAUUUUCAAAUUACAAGUAAGUAUUUGAGUUGCAGAACAAAUAAUUGAAAAUGGGAAAUGAAACAUGGGAAUGAAUACACAGGUUUCAUUGUCUUCUGAACAAUCUGAAAAUUUUCUUGGAAAGUGAAAGAAAAAGACAAACACUGAGAAGACAUUUUCCUAAGAAAUAACGUUAGCCCAAAAGAGCCCCACGUCCACUCUCUCCCUCUCAAGUCUGAACCUUGUCCAGCCUUCUCCUUCCUCGGUCGUCUCUGCCGUUCGCCUGAUGGCACCUUUCUUUGUCAUUGGCAGAGACUACCUGAGACAAAACCCGCUAAAACAUUAAAUGAAAUAUAAAAAUUACG